GCAUCGGUAGUUUAGUGGUAACAUCCAUUGUUGUCAUCAUAUGACAUUGAUGGGACUCGCGUUCGAUUCGCGGCUGAUGCA